AAAGAAUGGUAGUAACUGCAGAUAUGUUGUAGAUAUGAUGAAUACAAGAAGAUACAAGAAGUGUAAGCAUCCCCCUAACAUAAAAAGAAGAGUUUGCUAAUUGUCCAUGGAUCGUUCGCCGGAUCACGAUGCUUGUAAUUGCUUAUAUUCUGACAAUUCUUCAUGAGCCAUGAUUUUUCAUGUCCCUGCCAAUCUAUCUGCUGCUGUUGAUUGUUUUAAAUUUUAACUCUGUCGUUAAGUUUCGACCAGGGUAGUUGUUUUACAAUUAAUUAUUGUAUUACUACUACUUUGGUCUGGAUUGUCGAUUAUUUUUGUUCAUAGUAUGCGGAUUACACUGGCCAGAUUCGAUUCGAACGUCAAAUUCAAAACCAAGUGUUAACUGAUGUAUCCAUCAAGAUGGGCUGACAAUUUAAAAUAUGCUGAAUAGAAUUUAAGAUAGCAACCAAACUUCCUCUCAUACACUUAUUUUCUAACCGUAUUAUUUGUUUUUAGCUCCAACUAUGGUUAUUGUAAUUUAAUCCUAGACACAUCCAUUUUCAUGUGCAUAUUUCUGACAAUGUAAUUAUCCUGAUUUUGUACUUCUGUAGCAAUCCUACUUCGAGGACAAUGUUAUUAUGGGCAACUUUUAGGUAAUCGAGUGUCAAUUUACCACAGCAUUGGCACGUAUGUUUUCAUCCGAUAGAUAAACUAGCUAUGGGAUAAAAGUUUGUGUGCCAAUGCUGGGGCAUUUAGGUUGUUUGAAAUACGCUCAUAAAAACAUUUGACUUUGUCGUAUACUUACAUCAGAGAUACCAGUUCAGAAAAAUUAGAUUAUCGGAAGUAUGUACAUGAAAAUAGAUGCGUUGAGACAAAAUUGUUAUUUGUCCUAAACAACCAGUGAAUAAAAAUUAUGUUUGUUAUAGCAAUAGAUUGCAGUAAUUAGAUAUUACAAAUUAUAUAAAUGUUUUUAUUUUUUUUUAAUAAAAUUUACUCAUGAUUACUUUUUCAAAUUCUAUAAAUAAAUUAAUUUUGUAUUCAAUAAUAAUCUUGUACUAUGUUUAAUUUAUUAAUUUAUACUUGAAAAAAAUUAUAAUGCAUUUUCAUGUGUAAUAUAAAAUGCAUUUCAGCACUAUUGUUAGUCUCUGUAAAUAAACAAGCUGUAGUUUCAAUAUGAUCAACAGUACGUCAGUAGUAUUAAAAAGUCAUAAUUAGAAACAUGAAUAAGAUUAUAAAAUAUAAAUAAAUUGUUAUUUCAAAAGUUACAUUAUAAACCAAUCACCAAAGGUACUCAACCUUAUAAAGAGUUAAACUAAUUAAAUUUUGUCUUUUAAAACAAUACUUUUCUGUUUUAUUUCUAAAAAACUUACAAACUUAAACUGAUUUUUUUUUUGUCCAGUAACUGCAACAACUUAUUGACAAUUACUUCAUUGAUUUCAAUUUCUUGUCACACAUAAAUACAAUAUAAAAGAUAAUAUGUAGAGACUAUUAAAUAAUUUUCAUGGUGUCAAAAGACAGCAACUUUAAAUAUUGUAAUAUGUACCGUUUUUCGCCAAUAGCCGUCUACUACAUACCUAAUUUAAAAUCUUAGUUCUUUUGAUUUGUAAAAGAGAUAUAUUCAAUCUAUAGCUUGGUAUUAGACAAAUGUGUUAAAUUAGAAUAACAGUGAAUUGAUCUAGAAGUGACACUUUAUAUUUAUUUUUUUUUAACUUCAAUAUUUAAUCAGUUAAGACAUCUCUAUACUAUUUGGUUUUGUGGAGAAUUGCUGUAAUAGUAAUUUUUAAUUUAUUAUGAUAUUUGUGUAAGCUAUAAAGUAAUCACUUUAAAAAAAUUAAAAUCUUCCUGAACGGUUUUCAUUUUUGACGCAGAUCAAUGUAUAUAAAUCAUAGAUAAUAAAAGAAUGGAUAGGCUAUUCCUAUAUUAACAACAGUUACCUGUAGUUACCAAAGCUUCACAGGUCAUAGCCGUAAUAAUCAGUAGGACGAACAUUUAAAAACCUCAAAUCACCCAAUUUUGAGCAGCUAUAAUUCAUUAACAGUUAAAAAAUAAUAAUAAUUUUAACGUUAAAAUUCAUUCAAUUUUAUUAUAUUUUAUAUUCUGAACGGAGUGAAGAAUGUAUUGAUUCUACCAUGAUGUAUGUUUAUUUUAUUUUAUUUUUGUGUCUGUCAUCACGUUUUGGAGUAGAAAUAAUGCUUUGAUUUUUGACUUCAAGCCCUGAAAAGGAAAAUAAAUUUAGUUGGUACUUUGAUGAGUCAAGGUUUUCAGUAGUUUUCAAGAGUGUCAUAAAAAAAACCCUAAAAAAGUAACGGAAAAAACCGGGAUUUUUACGCCGAUUUUUUUAUUUCGCUGUAACUCAAAAACGAAUCAUUAUAAAUACUUGAAAUUUUCACCAAAUGUUUAUAUUAACGUUAUCUAUUUACGAUUAUAUUUUCAAAAUAUUAUCCGACCACUCCUCAACUCCAAAACAAACUUAUUAUUUAUAAGUCAAUCAUAAGACCGAUCUGGACUUAUGGAAUAGCAAUCUGGGGUCCAGCCAAGCCCUGGAACAUCAGGCCAAUUCAGGCUUUUCAAUCAAUUGCGCUUAAGUUAAUAACCAAAGCCCCCUGGUACGUUUCAAACUUUACCUUACACAAUGACUUAAAAAUAAUAACUACGUACCACUGAACUAGCCAAAACAAUGUACAAACGUUUCCACCAAAAUUUAAGCAGGCAUAGCAAUACUUUAAUAUCACACAUUAUCCUAGUCCACCUUCAUCCUCCCAAAAAACCCACCACGCAGACUAAAGCGUAAAUGGUGUAGAGAUCAAUUAAAUUAGUAAUGGAAAGGAGGUGUUAUCAUUGGGUUUCUUCCUCAACACGAUAUUCAUGUUACUUUAUUCUUUUUUAUUUUAUCUAAUUUGCUUAUUGUAAAAAAAAAAAAUUUUUGACUUUUUAGCUAUUUAUAGACAAUCACAAUUUUUCGAUAUUUUUUUUUUUUGAAAUGCUGAUAAAAAAAAUUUGGCAAUCUAAUAAUUUUUUAAAUUUAAAAAAAAAAAUUCUAGCGUCAAUAUAGAAAAAAUGUAUGAGCGUAUGAAAUUUUAAUUUUUUACGAAAUCGCGUAAAAUAACGACAUAUAACAAUUUAAAUAUAACUAAUAAUAGAAUAUAUCCUACUAAUAUUAGUAAUAUUAUGCUAGACUGACAAAUCAUAUCUGUUCAGAAUCGCUUUUCGUAUACAAUAAUACCUGUUAAUUGUUAUUGCAUUCAAAUUUAAGUAUUUAACACAUCCAUACCUACUCACCAUCACCUCUACUAUACAGCAGAGCGAUACCCACUUGCCCACCAUUUUCGUGUGCAUUAUACACAUUUCCAAUUAAUAUUUGGGUUGCUAGUCCAAAAAGUUGAAGACAGUGGUUUAGAUAAUAUUAAUAUUAACACAGAACAAUGAUAUAUAUAUUAUAUAUCCACCUUGGGCAGUUGGGCAUACGAUUGCGCUCACAUGUACGAAUGUAUAAGUAUGGCUAUACUCAACCCAUUGGUGAAUUAAGCUAUAUGCCGCCUACAAGCAGGAAACUUUCUGCCGUCUCAAAUUAUAAUAUAAUAUUAUAAAUAUAUUUUAUUUUUUAAGUACGCCAAAUUUGCCACUCCAAUCACCUGAUUAUUCUGCCUGUAGGUGUAGAGCACGAUUAAAGAAAUACCUUUAUAUAUCUUUAAUCGUGGUGUAGAGUAACCCGACGCUGACUCGACCUAUUUUAACCACGGCUAUACUAUAGUCAGAUAGUCUAUAAUUAGUAUAAUUUAUAAUCGUGCAUGAUACAUUGAUACCACGGACUAAGAUAUAUCUUAGUCCGUGAUUGAUACCGUGACCAUCUUUAUCUAAUAUCAUUGAGUAUAGAUAGUACUAUCUAUACUCAAUGCUAAUAUCUAUACCUAUUUACAUUUUACUGUCAGACGUAUGUUGACGAAGUUGUGACAGUUGUGUUCAUGUUUCAACUUUCAACUGUGAGCUUCUAUGUCUUAUUUUUCGCAGUGUUAAAUUUUAUAUUUAAUUUUUAAAAUGAAAAAUGAAAUUCGCCGUGUAACUUCGGAAAGAGGAAGUGAUUUGUUAGUAGUAAAUGGGCACAAAUUUCGAUACAUUAGACAGCGGACUGAUGGAUAUGUCAGAUGGAGGUGUUGUAAAAGACAGUGUACGUCUACAGUAUUAAUGACGAUUGAUGAUUCCGUUAUAGAAAAUGCUAGUGAGCAUAACCAUCCUGUUGAUCCAAUUCAAAAACUUGAUAGGCAAGUUUUAAGGGAAAGUUGCAAACGAAAAGCUACAAGUUCUAUAACUACCCAGCCAAUAAAAUUAAUUAGAAGUGAACUUAUGAAUAGCGUAAGUACUGCAUUGGAACAUAAAGAUAUAAAAUCAGUUAGAAAGGCCAUGUAUAUUGAACGAAGAAAAAGAUGCCAUUACAAAAUUAAAGACAAAGUGAAGAUUUUUUAAUGUUUAGAGGGAAAAAGCUUUUACAUUUACCCCAUGUUUUUCAACUUUUAUUUGUUUAACAACUGAAGAAAAUCAUCAAUGUUUGAUAAGUUGUACAGAUUUAUUUACAGACGGAACAUUUGAAUAUACUCCAACAUUUUUUUUACAAUUAUAUACCAUUCAUGAUUAUAAAAAUGGCAUUUACAUACUUUUGCUAUACUUUUUUUUAAAGGAUAAAUGUAAGAAUACAUAAAUGUAUAGAAAUAUUUAAUUAGUAUAAUAUGCGAAAAGCAAUCACUAAUUUUUAAAAUUUUAAUAUUACAAAUUGAUUUUGAAAUUGGUGCUAUUGAAGCAACAAAAGAAGUUUUUCCGGCUAUCCAAAUUAAAAUAUUCUGUUUUUACUAGGAUCAAGCUUGGUGGCGAAAAACUUUCUUUCAUUGCUUCAGACAACGUAGAGGAUGCUUAUGUUGAAUAUUAUAUGUGUGUUGAAAUAUUACAGUUGGCCAACUUUUUUCAAAUUUUUUGGAAACGUAUAUUGAACCUGGUUGUUUAUUUUCACCUAUUUUAUGGGCUGAGACACCAUCACUAAAUCUUAGAACUAUAGUAAAUAAUAUAACGCACAGUUUAAUAGUGCUCAUCUACCAAUAUUUGUUGUUAUAAUUACCAUUAUGGAAACUCAGGCUGACACAGUUACCAAAUUAUCAACCAUUUCCAAAGGAAUAAUCAGGCCAAAAUCAAAGGAAGAAUUAAAGAAAAUUUAAUUUAUCUUUAACUGUAAAACUACGUCAUGCCUGUUGGUUUGUCAGUGAAGGAUAGAGUCGAUAAAGGGAUUGAGAUUCCAUAAAGUAUUGUAUGUGAAUACCCCAUACAGUAAUAUGGAAUACCCACACUGAUUUCCAUCUGAUCUGGUUAGUUCAAGGCCGCUGAGAAAAUGAAAACAUUGAAAACAAUUCGACGAAAAAGAACUUGUUGGUGAAUGGUAGUUUUAAGAAUUUCAUAAUUUUCGGACUUUUAAAUUAAUAAUUAUAUAUUUUUGGUGAACUUUAAAUUAAAUAAAUUAUAUUUUCCGUUUUUAACGUGACCUAUUACAUAUAGUACGUUUUGAUGUAUAAAAUGAUGUAUGUUUGUUACUUAAGAUAAUAAACAACAACUAAUAUUCAAUCAGGUAA